AGUUCUUUCUCUCUGUUCUCUCUCUUCUACCUACCUUCUCCUAUCAUAAACUUAAAGCAAGAAUCCUUCACAAAUCAAAGAUCAUUCCACUUAUUCUGCAGUAUACGACGCCGUUGACAUUUUCGG